rnacentral:rRNA from 1 species
CGGCAACGGCCUAAAACUCAAAGGACUUGGCGGUGCUUCAUACCCCUCUAGAGGAGCCUGUUCUAUAAUCGAUAAACCCCGAUAAACCUCACCAAUCCUUGCUAAUACAGUCUAUAUACCGCCAUCUUCAGCAAACCCUAAAAAGGAAUAAAAGUAAGCGCAAUCAUUAUACAUAAAAACGUUAGGUCAAGGUGUAACCUAUGGAAUGGGAAGAAAUGGGCUACAUUUUCUACUUAAAGAA